CAUUUCCAAACCCAAAUGCUCCGCGUGUGUUCCUGGCGCUUUGGGAAACCUCUUUUUCCCCAGGAUGCGGCUCCUGGGAGGGAUGUUCUUGUGGCUGCAGGGGCUGGUUUGGGGGGGCAGGAGGACGCAGCCCCCACCUCACCCAGUGCUCAUCCCUCCCGGGACAGCAGCCCUGGCCGUAGGGAGUAGCUGAGGUUAAUUUGGGGUGAUUUCUCUGGACUGGGGGCAGCCUGGGCAGUGCUGCUCAGCUCCUUUUUCUUUUCCUGGGUUUCUGUUGCCCUCUAGUGGGACCAGCGCUGGGAAAAGGGCUCAGACUGGGGGUGCUGGGGGGCUCAGCUCUGCUGAGACCGCGGGGUGCGGAGCACCGGGGGGCCCCUGGCAGACACCUCCCGCUGGCCCAAGCGCCUUUCCAGCAACGCAGCUUCUGCUUUGGAAGCAUUUUUUUCACAAGACAUUAUCAACCUCAGCAGAAUGAAGGACGGAUGGAAAUCAGACAGAUGUGAAAGGCUGGGAAGGAGGAAGAUCUUUUCAAGCAGAAAGGCUGCAGUGCCCUGAGGUGCAGAGGCAGCGACACAGGAGACACAGCCCGUGGGGUCCCGGUGGCUUUCGCAGGAUGCCAGGCCGGUGUCAGAGGCUUCGUCACUGAAGGGAAGGGACUUUGUUCGUGGAGGAGCAGAUGCCGCGGGACAGAGCUGCCCGGGGCCCCCCCAGUGCUGCAGAGCGGGAGGAACGUGCACGUGAAGCGGCGCUGUCAGGAACGUGAGUGCCAAAACCAAAAUAUCCCAAUGCUUGGUGGGGAGAGGAUGCUCUGGAGAGACAGUGGAGAGCGGGGUCAGGGAGAGCAGCUGGCACAGAGAGCCAGGAGUGCGGCCCCAGCCUGCAAACGCCUGACAGCUGCGGAGAAUUAAUUCAGGUAUUGAUUAAGAGGGAUGUACAGCCUGAGCUGCUGUGUGUCCCCCUGCAGCCCUUCCUGGUCCUGCCCUCGCCCUUUUCCUCUUGCAGAUACCUGUGAGGUUUCCUCAGGAGUCAGUUUGGUGAGGCUUUGCCUAAACCCAGGGCUAACCAGGGGUUUAGGGGGAGCUGCAGCCCCACAUCUCGCAAUGGGGAUGUGGCUGGGAAUGCACUGUUCUGUAAGCAAAAAUCAGCUUUAAACUGGGAAAACUGGGGGCUGGGUGGGGGUGAGCGAGUCCUGCUUUGCUGCAGUACAGGGGGGUUUGAUGCUUCUUCAUCUCCUUUGGGUUUCUCUGUGUUGGCUCAGUUAUUUUUCUCAGGCCAAAUGGGAGAGAAAAGAGAUUUCUUGCUUCUGCUCUGGGGGGUUGGAAAUGGGUCCCGUUGGUGCUGGGAGGAGGGUGUCACAUCUGGCUGUCCCCAGGGCCUCCGCUCUGGCUGGUGUUGUCCCCAGGCCCCAGCUGGGGAUGGGUGGCUCUGCUUUCCCUUCCAACCCUCCAAGGCUGCAAAUAACCUCAUAAAAAUAACCAAAGAGGCAACCGGACUCUCUCAGGGAAAAGAAAUAACCCCAGGAAAGCAAAGCUAUGGCAAGGGAGUGUUUGUGAGUCGGGGAGGGCUGGAGCCAUCAGCCCUUCCGUGCGUUUCGGGUGGAGAGCGCUUUUCUCAAAGCAAGGUUUUAAUUUUACCUGCAAAUCAUCCCACGGGACAGCAGAGCAUCUGCAGGCGGCCAGUGCAGCCCCAGCGCCCUAAAACCACCAACCUCAGGGCAAAAAAUGGCCUUUACUGAAAAAAGGUCAUUUAGAGUGGGUCCAGGUGCCGCAGGGCAGGGCGGUGCUGGUUCCAUCUCCCGCAGAGCAGGACGGGAUUAACAGCCCGUUUCUGCUGGGCUCAGCAAUCAGCGAUGCCGCCGGCUGCCCAGGGCUGAGCUGAGCUGACAAAUUGGAGAUGAAAAGGGUUCGUGUCGCGGUGACGUUUUACUGGGUCAUGCCCCGUAUUUACAUCCCGGUCCCAUCAUUACCAACAGGCAACAUCAACACGGUAGGAUCUGCUGGCACAGAAACUGCUCGGCUUGCAGCCGCCCGAGCCUCUCGCCCCGGCACCCGGCAGCGCUGAAUGGAAUUAAAUUGAUCAGUAAAACCACCGCGAUGGCUCUGGCUGGGAUGGAGCCGCUCGCACAGGGGCAGGAGCGACCUGGCGUGCACAUCGCGCUCCGUGCCAGUGGAGCCUGGAUGCACAAGAGGCCGAAAUCUUUCAUGUGCUGCUCAAGCUGCGUGGGGAGGAAAAGCCCCCAGGCAGCAAAUUUGGGAGGCAGAAAGCACUGGGCCAGCCUUCGGAUGGCUUUGCUAACCUGAUUUCAUGGAAACGCAUGUUUGCGAAGCGUGGCAGCAGCUGACGGUCCUGGAGGGCGGCUGGGCGCUCUCGCAGGCUUGGCUAAUGCCCCCCGUACCCCAAAAUUUCCUCGUAAUCAUUAGAAAUGUAUUCUAUUAGCAGCCCGUGCGGGGGCGGCGAAGGGCCGGGGGGGCAGGUGUUCGUGCUGCGGCUCCAGCGCUCGCACCCCAUCAGCCACCUGGGUGGGAGCCAAGGCGGGGGCGGCCCCCCCUGGCCUGUGGGCUCGACCGGAGCGGCUUUCCGCCCCGCAGAUCGGGUUGCCCAUGGAACGGCGCCUGGACCAGGUGUUUUGGGCUUGAUAGGGCAGAGCCAGGGGGUCUGGGGGGGUCUGGCCAUGGGGCUGAGCAGUGGGGGGGGCACUUUGCCUUCUCAGCCCCUUCCUUGCAGCUUGGCAGCAACAGGCUGAGCUGAGCCUGCCCAGCCUGGUCCCCUGGGCUGCUGGGGGGGCUCUGACCUUCCUGGGGGGUCACCCAGAGCACAGGAGCUUUGGGUUCACACGCAGGGUCUGCGGGCUGAGAGCAGCCAGACGGGUUUGUGUUCAACCCAGCCCCACGUUGUGUUUGGGCUCUUCCCCACAACCCGGCACCAUCCGGACCCCCCCAUGAAAACGCUGCAGCGACUGUGUGUGCCCCACCGCUCACCCCUGCCCCUCCAGCUGCCUUUUCCCCACCAAAAAGCAACAAAUCCAGCCCCAAAGCUGCAGAUUUGCCCCUCAACAGCUGCGCUUCCAGCCUGGCCGUGUCCCUGCGGAGGGGUCAGGGUUGCACGGGCAGCAGGUCCUGGACCCGGGGCUGGCGGGGCCGUGAUUGAUGAGCCCCUUCCCACCCCUGGGGCUGCAGCUUUGCUGGUUUGAGCCUUUGGGGGAAUUUCUGCCUUUCUUGCGGCUCUGCUUUUCAGCUCACUGGGUUGGAGCCUUCCUGCUCUGCUGGAGAGGGCUGCGAGGUCGCGGGGGGGCGGGAAAGCAGCUUUUAACGAGCAAAGAGGCUGCGGUGCUGUGCUUGGCACUGCUUUGCUGGAGCGAUAUUGCCCGUUUUACCCCCAAACCACCCCCUCUGCUCUCCCCGAACCUCUUUUCCCAUGGCCAGACCCGUGUUUGGGAGGGGGCAGAGCCCGGUGCAUUGUGCACACUGGCGUUGACAAGCUUGGCCUCCCCAGGGAGCAACCCAUAUGGAUUCGGUCUUGGAAAACCACGCUUCGGAUAACGAUGCGGCUUUCCUAAUUAGUGCGCCUGCCGGGCCCCAGCCAGCACGCAACAGCGGGUGGAUCCCUGGAUCCGGGCUGAUUUGCAGCAGGAGGCUCCAGGUCCAUGGGCGCCCCGACCUGUGAUGGAGCGUCUGGAGACCCCGGUCCCAUCGCCCCGAGCUCCUGUGGCAGCAAAGGGGGCGAUUCAUGGGGGGACAGGGGUUUGUUGGGUCAGAAGGUCUCCCAGCGAAUGCAAGACUUUAUUUUUCUCCUGACGAAGCACAGCCAAAGCCGAGCCAGGGGGUGCUGGGGGUGCUUGUUUGGGGCCAGGAAGAGGCACCAAAACCAGGGCAAAUACAGGUCCUGGGGACUGGGGAUGCCCUUGAGGGGGCUCAGGGACCUUCUCCGGGUGGGGUGAGAUCUGCAGCGACCCCCCUGCGCCCCCGGGCUCCUUCCCCUGCCAGCGCCUGCUUAUGCGUUUUACCCAAUUACUGCUUAAUGCAAAAUGCAUAAGGAGCCCUUGGAGCGGGGACAGGAGCCCAAAGCUCGGCUUUGCCGUCCUCGGCCGCGGAGCCGAGCCUUUCGGAUGGUUUCCAGCCCUGAUUCAAUGACUUCAUGAGAAGAUUUCUCUGUCUUUUUUUUCAGUUUCUGGUUAAUUUCUUUCUCUGAUUCAGCAGCAAGAAACAAAUCUGGAGGCUGAAUCUGUGUAUCACACAGGCUUUCGCUACUAUUUUAAAGGCUUUUGCAUGGGGGAGUCGGGGCUGCUUUCCAGGGGUCCUGAGCUGGCCCACGGCAAACCCCCCAGAUCACAAACCCCCCAGAUCACAAACCCCCCAAAUCACAAACUCCCAAAUCGUGGGGGCUCUUUGAAAGCCCAAACCCCGCCGGCAUAAAGCGACCGAGCCCACGGUGCCGCUGGCGCUUGACCUGAGACAGGAAAGAAACAGCUUGUACAACCCAGCCCUGUUGUGGCUUUUGAGGUUUUAGCAAGUUAAAGCAACAAAUAGCCCAUUUAAGUGAAAGCUACACUGCAGGCCGGUCCCCGGGGAGCCCCGAUCCCAAGCCAAAAUCCAAGAGAGCAAAGGGAGAAAAAUCAAUCAUUGCUAUAGGAAAUCAAACAAACUCCAAAGCUGUUUUCCCAUUCUUCCCUUGGCAAAUCCCCUUUUCUGGCUCAGAUUUUGACAUUCUUGUUUCUGAAGUGGACAUAGACAGGGCUGGGGAUGCAUUUCCCUGCCCCACGGCCGGGCUUCGCCCCAAAGCAGGGGCUGACCCGGGACCCCGAAUCUCUCUGUUAUUUUAAUAGAGACGUACCCUGCGAGAUGAUUAACCACAGGCCUUUUGAAAGUCUGGCAAAUAAUUUUUCCAACCUAAUUGGGUUUGCUUCUCUUAUUUCUGCAGCUUGUGUGCUCCUUAUUUCGUUAUUUAUAGAAAACAUCUGUCUGAGUGUCAGCCAACCCUUAGGUGGGAAACCGAGUCUUGGCGAUCUCUUUGCUCUACACAGCCGGGGUGGAACCGCAGCUCUGCCAAGGGGAGUCGUGGUGACCCCGCGGGUCCCUGUGGGGGGACAUUCACAGGUUUUGGGGGUGACAAGGUGCCCACAGGAGCCUCCUCGCACCCAAAAGGAGCGGGAGGGCAGGGGAAAAACAGCAAUAACCUGAAAAAAGCAGGUAAAUCACGCUGAAAAAAGCCCUUUGAGGGAGGCGGGAGCUCCUCCAGCCCAGCACGGUGAACGGGCAGGGAAAACCAGGGGUUGUUUUUCCAGGUAAGAAGCUGCAGGAUGAAUGUGUGGUAAUGCUGACUAAGCCAGUUAUUACAGCCGUGAUUAACCCUGGUAAUUAAUCUCUGGGACUGAGCAUGGCAGAGGUCGGCGUGCUCAGCGCUGGCGGGAGAUGUGGUGUAAUUGCUGUGGGGAUGUCAAUUCUCGCUCUCUGCACCCAUUUCUGCUCAUCCUUUAUGGUUUUGGGAUGUUUUUUCUCAUCCUCACUGCAUUCGGGAGCCGAGGCUGGAGGGGCCUGUCCCGGUGGCAGCAGUGGGGACAAACCCCCGUCCCUGCUGUGCCCGCCGGGCUGGGGCGCAUGGGAUGGGGUCAGGACCAGCUGCACGCAGGCGAAGGGACAAAUCCCAGGAUGCAAAACUGCUUUGGUGGGUGGGAACGGGGAGGGAACCAAGCCAGGGCGGUGGAUUAAUCAGGGAAGAUCAUGCGGUGAGUUUAUGGCAGCUGGAAAUCAGCUGCAUCCUCCCCAGUGCUCCACUAACCCCAGAGCAUCUUCCCCCGGGCACCAUUCCGAGAGCUUUGUCCUGUGGGAAUAGCAUGGAGGUGAGAGCUGAGCUCCCAAACACCUUUAUCCCGCUGCUUUCAGACUGCAAGAAAUACUAUAAGUCCAAAAAUAAAAAGCAAUAUGCAAUAUA